AGCAGGCAAAAGAAAGGUGAAACCCUAGCUUCAAGAAAUCAAGAAUCGAAGCCAAAUACAUAAGAUAAUCCGGUGCAUGAACCCUCCUUGCGAAAAUCUAACCCUAUUUUGUUAGUGGCGUGAUGGAGGAAGGUUCCAAUACUAGGAAAACGGAAGGUUCACAAGAUCGAGGUAAAACACCUCUAUAGGCGAUUUGGAGAUAUGGAGCGAGCACGUGUUCAAGCCUUAUUAUACCAAGCGCUUCCGCUAGUUUAUAUGCAUACUUUUGGGUUCACGUUUUGUUACUUUGAUUAAAUCUUGUUAGAAGUCUUACACUUGAAAACUUGUUGUUUUUGUUUGGGGUAGUUUAAUGUCAAUAGGGUCGUAGGUGAAUGUCGUCUAUUAUGUCAAAACAGGGGGUAUGUCCGUUUUACAAACGGGUCAUGCCCAAAUUUUGUAAAAAUUUUACUAUGUAUCAAAGUUGGUAUUUUGAUGUCCGAAAAAUUGUUCUUUUGUAAGUAAUCUAACAUUAUGGAAAAGCGGACGUUACAAGUUGGUAUCAGAGCCAAGGUUUGAGGGAUUCGGGCAAGAGUCAUAGUGCUCGAACUCAAACCGAUGGCUCGUGCAAAAGUGUGCUCGCUCCGAGAUCGCCAAUGAGGUAAAACUUUAAGUUUUUGUUAAACACGAGUAUGUAUAGUGUGUUUAUGAUGAAUAUUUAAGUUAAGUAUGUGACAGGGUAAUUAUGGUGGGCAAAAAAAAUGAUAAGUUCUAGGGACCGCACGGCCGGAAAUGGACCCGAAAAGAGUUAAAACACUUAAAAUGAAAGCAGCAGCGGAUUAAUAAACGACAGGCCGUCGCCGACGGCUGGGUGCCCGUCGCCGACGCCACCCCCUCCCGGGCCGACGCCCUAUCUGUCUGUCGACGGAAACAAGUGGCCGACGCCACAUUAUGAGGCCCGUCGCCGACGGACCAUUAGCCGUCGCCGACGGGUCGUGCAAAGUUGGUCCGCCAGAAUUUUUUUUUUGUUUUUCACAUUUUGAGUUGCCGGGUUAUCCGAAAGCCUAUUUAAUGACUAUGUAAGGUCCACAUAAGGCCUAAUAGAUGUAUGUAAUCACAAUUAGUGGUUACAAUAAGAAUGGAUUCGUAAGAGUCGGAAGUGAUGAAUCGAAUGAUAAGAUAAGAGUUACGAAAUUUAAAAGAUCAAAAAAAAAAA